CUGAAGGGCCAGAGCUCCAUGGCAGUGCCUGUGUCUCUGCACAUGGCCCUGGGUGAUGAGCUCCAGACAUGGCAUAAGGAGAGGGAACUACAGCCAAGUCUUGGUUUCUUAGACAGGUUCCUGAGGAUGGGAAUUAAGCACAAGCUCCACUGCUCUGCAGGGUGAAGCCCAGGAAUGGCUGUGGUGUACAGACCCCAGAGGUGUGGGUCGUGGAAGAGGCCAGCCUGACCUUCCUACAUGUGAGUUUAUUGUGCUCGUGGAGUCUCUGGUGUUUUCUUCCCCUCCCUAGAACCAUUCCAGGGUAAGUGGUUGUUUGACCUUCUGGCUUCAUUAAAUAGAUUUGUCACCCCUGGAAAAGGGACCUUCAGCAGCUGACCCUGCGUUCAGCCCAGCAUUAUCUGCCCUCCCCUCUUGCAGUCCUUUAGUGCUGUGUGUUCCCAGUGGAGAUACAAA